rnacentral:ncRNA from 2 species
CUCUUAUCAAGAGCAGGUGGAGGGAAUUGGCCCGAUGAAACCCAGCAACCGACCAUAAAACCAUUGUGAGAUGGGGCGCUAUAAAUAGCGCUAGCAGGAAUCCCCUCUUAAGGCACGGUGCUACAUCCAUCAGAAACGGUUGUUUCUGAAAGAUAAGAG